GACGAGCGCUGGCGGCGUGCUUAACACAUGCAAGUCGAGCGGAAAGGCCUCUUCGGGGGUACUCGAGCGGCGAACGGGCGAGUAACACGUGAGUAAUCUGCCCUUCACUCUGGGAUAGCCACCGGAAACGGUGAUUAAUACCGGAUACGACACGUCCAGGCAUCUGGUGCGUGUGGAAAAUUUUUGGGUGGGGGAUGUGCUCGCGGCCUAUCAGCUUGUUGGUGGGGUAAUGGCUCACCAAGGCGUCGACGGGUAGCCGGCCUGAGAGGGUGACCGGCCACACUGGGACUGAGACGCGGCCCAGACUCCUACGGGAGGCAGCAGUGGGGAAUAUUGCACAAUUGGCGAAAGCCUGAUGCAGCAACGCCGCGUGAGGGAUGACGGCCUUCGGGUUGUAAACCUCUUUUAGCAGGGAAGAAGCGAAAGUGACGGUACCUGCAGAAAAAGCGCCGGCUAACUACGUGCCAGCAGCCGCGGUAACAC
rnacentral:rRNA from 1 species